rnacentral:rRNA from 1 species
CUGGUGCCAGCAGCCGCGGUAAUUCCAGCUCCAAUAGCGUAUAUUAAACUUGUUGCAGUUAAAAAGCUCGUAGUUGAAUUUCUGCGUUAUCGAGUUAUUGACUCUUGUCUUUAAUCGAUUUCGCUUUUGGGAUUUAUCCCUUUUUACUUUGAGAAAAUUAGAGUGUUUCAAGCAGACUUUUGUCUUGAAUACUUCAGCAUGGAAUAAUAGAGUAGGACUUUGGUUCUAUUUUGUUGGUUUUUGAACCUUAGUAAUGGUUAAUAGGAACGGUUGGGGGCAUUCGUAUUUAACUGUCAGAGGUGAAAUUCUUAGAUUUGUUAAAGACGAACUACUGCGAAAGCAUUUGCCAAGGACGUUUCCAUUAAUCAAGAACGAAAGUUAGGGGAUCGAAGACGAUCAGAUACCGUCGUAGUCCUAACCAUAAACUAA